CAGAGGUUCAUGAAGUUUAAGGAAAGAAGCUGUUUCCACAGCAUAAAAAAUGCAAUGUAAAGCAGCAAGUGCUGAUAUAGAAGCUAUAGCAAAUUAUUCAGAUCAGGCUAAAGUUAUUCUUGCAGGUUGCAACACUAAACAGAUUUUCAAUGGAGAUGAACUCUCCUGUUAGGGUCUAAUGCAGGUGGUGACUUUAAGUUGAAGCCAAUGAUCAUUUACCAUUCUGCUAAUCCUAUUGCCCUUGACAAUUAUGCUAACUCUACUCUACCAUGCUUUAUAG
rnacentral:lncRNA from 10 species